rnacentral:rRNA from 3 species
AUAGAUCCUGAAACCGCAUGCUUACAAAAAGUAGGAGCCUCGAAAGGGGUGACUGCGUACCUUUUGUAUAAUGGGUCAGCGACUUACAUUCAGUGGCAAGGUUAACCGAAUAGGGAAGCCGUAGAGAAAUCGAGUCCGAAUAGGGCGAUCAGUCGCUGGGUGUAGACCCGAAACCAAGUGAUCUAUCCAUGGGCAGGAUGAAGGUGCCGUAACAGGUACUGGAGGUCCGAACCGACUAAUGUUGCAAAAUUAGCGGAUGACCUGUGGAUAGGGGUGAAAGGCUAAACAAACUUGGAAAUAGCUGGUUCUCUCCGAAAACUAUUUAGGUAGUGCCUCAAGUAUUACCAUCGGGGGUAGAGCACUGUUUUGGCUAGGGGGUCAUGGCGACUUACCAAACCAAGGCAAACUCCGAAUACCGAUGAGUACAGCUUGGGAGACAGAGCACCGGGUGCUAACGUCCGGACUCAAGAGGGAAACAACCCAGACCGCCAGCUAAGGUCCCUAAAAUUGGCUAAGUGGGAAACGAAGUGGGAAGGCUAAAACAGUCAGGAUGUUGGCUUAGAAGCAGCCAUCAUUUAAAGAAAGCGUAAUAGCUCACUGAUCGAGUCGUCCUGCGCGGAAGAUGUAACGGGGCUAAGCCAGUUACCGAAGCUGCGGAUUUGCAAUUUAUUGCAAGUGGUAGGAGAGCGUUCUGUAGGCCUGUGAAGGUGGUGGUGUAAACCCUGCUGGAGGUAUCAGAAGUGCGAAUGCUGACAUGAGUAGCGUUAAAGGGGGUGAAAAGCCCCCUCGCCGUAAGCGCAAGGUUUUCUACGCAACGUUCAUCGGCGUAGAGUGAGUCGGCCCCUAAGGCGAGGCAGAGAUGCGUAGCUGAUGGGAAACAGGUCAAUAUUCCUGUACCGAUGACAAGUGCGAUGUGGGGACGGAGAAGGUUAGCUCAGCCAACUGUUGGAUAUGUUGGUUCAAGCCUGUAGUCGUGCUCGGUAGGCAAAUCCGCCGGGCUUAGAUGAGGGGUGAUAACGAGGGUGCUUGCACCUGAAGUGAGUGAUACCCUGCUUCCAGGAAAAGCCACUAAGCUUCAGCUUGUCAUUGACCGUACCGCAAACCGACACUGGUGCGCGAGAUGAGUAUUCUAAGGCGCUUGAGAGAACUCAGGAGAAGGAACUCGGCAAAUUGAUACCGUAACUUCGGGAGAAGGUAUGCCCCAAGUAGGUGAACUCGAACAGAGGGAGCCCAACGGGGUUGCAAAAAAUCGGUGGCUGCGACUGUUUAAUAAAAACACAGCACUCUGCAAACACGAAAGUGGACGUAUAGGGUGUGACGCCUGCCCGGUGCUGGAAGAUUAAAUGAUGGGGUGCAAGCUCUUGAUUGAAGUCCCAGUAAACGGCGGCCGUAACUAUAACGGUCCUAAGGUAGCGAAAUUCCUUGUCGGGUAAGUUCCGACCUGCACGAAUGGCGUAACGAUGGCCACACUGUCUCCUCCUGAGACUCAGCGAAGUUGAAAUGUUUGUGAUGAUGCAAUCUCCCCGCGGAAAGACGGAAAGACCCCAUGAACCUUUACUGUAGCUUUGUAUUGGACUUUGAACAGAUCUGUGUAGGAUAGGUGGGAGGCUUUGAAGCUGGAACGCUAGUUUCAGUGGAGCCGACGUUGAAAUACCACCCUGGUGUGUUUGAGGUUCUAACCUAGGUCCAUUAUCUGGAUCGGGGACAGUGCAUGGUAGGCAGUUUGACUGGGGCGGUCUCCUCCCAAAGCGUAACGGAGGAGUUCGAAGGUACGCUAGUUACGGUCGGACAUCGUGAUAAUAGUGCAAUGGCAUAAGCGUGCUUAACUGCGAGACUGACAAGUCGAGCAGAUACGAAAGUAGGACAUAGUGAUCCGGUGGUUCUGUAUGGAAGGGCCAUCGCUCAACGGAUAAAAGGUACUCUGGGGAUAACAGGCUGAUACCGCCCAAGAGUUCAUAUCGACGGCGGUGUUUGGCACCUCGAUGUCGGCUCAUCUCAUCCUGGGGCUGUAGCCGGUCCCAAGGGUAUGGCUGUUCGCCAUUUAAAGAGGUACGUGAGCUGGGUUUAAAACGUCGUGAGACAGUUUGGUCCCUAUCUUCCGUGGGCGCUG